rnacentral:rRNA from 1 species
UACAGAGGGUGCAAGCGUUGUUCGGAAUUAUUGGGCGUAAAGAGCUCGUAGGCGGUUCGUCACGUCGGCUGUGAAAUCCCGAGGCUCAACCUCGGGUCUGCAGUCGAUACGGGCGGACUUGAGUACUGCAGGGGAGACUGGAAUUCCUGGUGUAGCGGUGAAAAUGCGCAGAUAUCAGGAGGAACACCGGUGGCGAAGGCGGGUCUCUGGGCAGUAACUGACGCUGAGGAGCGAAAAGCGUGGGGGAGCGAACAGG